rnacentral:tRNA from 1 species
GGGGUUGUGGCUCAGUGGUAGAAUACUUACCUAGCACACAUGAGGCUCUGAGUUCAAUCCUCAGCACCACA